UAUGGUCAUACCACCCUGAAUGCACCUGAUCUCCUUUGAUCUCGUCUGAUCUCAGAAGCUAAGCAGGGUCAGGUCUAGUGAGUACUUGAACAGGAGAAAAAAUUAAGUUACAAGUACUUCCAUAC
rnacentral:rRNA from 1 species